rnacentral:rRNA from 1 species
GAGGCAGUCCUCUUCGAGGUCUGCCAUCGGAAUGGGUACAAUUUAAAUCCUUUAACGAGGAUCUAUUGGAGGGCAAGUCUGGUGCCAGCAGCCGCGGUAAUUCCAGCUCCAAUAGCGUAUAUUAAAGUUGUUGCGGUUAAAACGCUCGUAGUUGGAUCUGCGGCCUUGGAGAACGGUCCCCCGAAAGGGUGGUCACUGUCUCUCCUAGCCUGAAUUCCAGUCGUCUCUAUGUGCUCUUUACUGAGUGCUUAGAGUGACUAGAACGUUUACUUUGAAAAAAUUAGAGUGCUCAAAGCAGGCGGAAUAGCCUGAAUAAGGUGCAUGGAAUAAUGGAAUAGGACCUCGGUUCUAUUUUGUUGGUUUUCGGAACCUGAGGUAAUGAUUAAGAGGAACAGACGGGGGCAUUCGUAUUCCGGCGCUAGAGGUGAAAUUCUUGGACCGCCGGAAGACGAACAACUGCGAAAGCAUUUGCCAAGAAUGUUUUCAUUAAUCAAGAACGAAAGUUAGAGGUUCGGAGGCGAUCAGAUACCGCCCUAGUUCUAACCGUAAACGAUGACAACCAGCGAUUAAUCGGCGUUAAUAUAUGACCCGAUUAGCAGCUUCCGGGAAACCAAAGUUUUUCGUUUCCGGGGGAAGUAUGGUUGCAAAGCUGAAACUUAAAGGAAUUGACGGAAGGGCACCACAGGAGUGGAGCCUGCGGCUUAAUUUGACCCAACACGGGAAAACUCACCCGGCCCGGAUACUGUAAGGAUUGACAGACUGAGAGCUCUUUCUUAAUUCGGUGGGUGGUGGUGCAUGGCCGUUCUUAGUUGGUGGAGCGAUUUGUCUGGUUAAUUCCGAUAACGAACGAGACUCUGGCCUAUUAAAUAGACGAUAUAUCAAAAAGUAUGUCGUACUUCUUAGAGGGACAAGCGGCGUCUAGCCGCAUGAAAUAGAGCAAUAACAGGUCUGUGAUGCCCUUAGAUGUCCGGGGCUGCACGCGCGCUACACUGAAAGAAUCAGUGAGCGAUUCACCUAGUUCGGAAGAACCGGGUAACCCAAGUAAAUUCUUUCGUGCUUGGGAUAGGGAAUUGCAAUUAUUUCCCUUAAACGAGGAAUUCCCAGUAAAUGCGGGUCAUAAGCUCGCGUUGAUUACGUCCCUGCCCUUUGUACACACCGCCCGUCGCUACUACCGAUUGGAUGACUUAGUGAGGUCUUAGGACCGGGGUAAUGGUGCUUUCGCGAGUGCUUUUGCUCUGGAAAUUUGAUCGAACUACGUUAUCUAGAGGAAGUAAAGUCGUAACAAGGUUUCCGUAGGUGAACCUGCGGAAG